rnacentral:rRNA from 1 species
UACGUAGGGGGCAAGCGUUGUCCGGAUUUACUGGGUGUAAAGGGUGCUCAGGCGGGUUUGUAAGUCAGAGGUGAAACUCCGAAGCUUAACUUCGGAACUGCCUUUGAUACUGCAAUCCUGGAGUUUGAGAGAGGCGAGUGGAAUAUCUGGUGUAGCAGUGAAAUGCGUAGAUAUCAGAUAGAACACCAAUGGCGAAGGCAGCUCGCUGGCUCAUAACUGACGCUAAAGCACGAAAGUGUGGGUAGCAAACAGG